rnacentral:rRNA from 1 species
ACAUGCAAGUCGAGGGGCAUCAGGAAGAAAGCUUGCUUUCUUUGCUGGCGACCGGCGCACGGGUGAGUAACACGUAUCCAACCUGCCCUUUACUCGGGGAUAGCCUUUCGAAAGAAAGAUUAAUACCCGAUGGCAUAAUGAUUCCGCAUGGUUUGAUUAUUAAAGGAUUCCGGUAAAGGAUGGGGAUGCGUUCCAUUAGGUUGUUGGUGAGGUAACGGCUCACCAAGCCUUCGAUGGAUAGGGGUUCUGAGAGGAAGGUCCCCCACAUUGGAACUGAGACACGGUCCAAACCCCUACGGGAGGCAGCAGUGAGGAAUAUUGGUCAAUGGGCGCUAGCCUGAACCAGCCAAGUAGCGUGAAGGAUGAAGGCUCUAUGGGUCGUAAACUUCUUUUAUAUAAGAAUAAAGUGCAGUAUGUAUACUGUUUUGUAUGUAUUAUAUGAAUAAGGAUCGGCUAACUCCGUGCCAGCAGCCGCGGUAAUACGGAGGAUCCGAGCGUUAUCCGGAUUUAUUGGGUUUAAAGGGAGCGUAGGUGGACUGGUAAGUCAGUUGUGAAAGUUUGCGGCUCAACCGUAAAAUUGCAGUUGAUACUGUCAGUCUUGAGUACAGUAGAGGUGGGCGGAAUUCGUGGUGUAGCGGUGAAAUGCUUAGAUAUCACGAAGAACUCCGAUUGCGAAGGCAGCUCACUGGACUGCAACUGACACUGAUGCUCGAAAGUGUGGGUAUCAAACAGGAUUAGAUACCCUGGUAGUCCACACAGUAAACGAUGAAUACUCGCUGUUUGCGAUAUACAGUAAGCGGCCAAGCGAAAGCAUUAAGUAUUCCACCUGGGGAGUACGCCGGCAACGGUGAAACUCAAAGGAAUUGACGGGGGCCCGCACAAGCGGAGGAACAUGUGGUUUAAUUCGAUGAUACGCGAGGAACCUUACCCGGGCUUAAAUUGCAGUGGAAUGAUGUGGAAACAUGUCAGUGAGCAAUCACCGCUGUGAAGGUGCUGCAUGGUUGUCGUCAGCUCGUGCCGUGAGGUGUCGGCUUAAGUGCCAUAACGAGCGCAACCCUUAUCUUUAGUUACUAACAGGUCAUGCUGAGGACUCUAGAGAGACUGCCGUCGUAAGAUGUGAGGAAGGUGGGGAUGACGUCAAAUCAGCACGGCCCUUACGUCCGGGGCUACACACGUGUUACAAUGGGGGGUACAGAAGGCAGCUAGCGGGUGACCGUAUGCUAAUCCCAAAAUCCUCUCUCAGUUCGGAUCGAAGUCUGCAACCCGACUUCGUGAAGCUGGAUUCGCUAGUAAUCGCGCAUCAGCCACGGCGCGGUGAAUACGUUCCCGGGCCUUGUACACACCGCCCGUCAAGCCAUGGGAGCCGGGGGUACCUGAAGUACGUAACCGCAAGGAUCGUCCUAGGGUAAAACUGGUGACUGGGGCUAAGUCA